rnacentral:rRNA from 1 species
AACGUGGGUGGCGAGCGUUAUCCGGAUUUACUGGGCGUAAAGCGCGUGUAGGCGGUUCGGUUAGUCGGGCAUGAAAGCUCCUGGCUCAACUGGGAGAGGCUGUCCGAUACUGCCGGGCUUGAGGACAAGAGAGGAAGGUGGAAUUCCGGGUGUAGUGGUGAAAUGCGUAGAUAUCCGGAGGAACACCAGUGGCGAAGGCGGCCUUCUGGCUUGUUCCUGACGCUGAGACGCGAAAGCAUGGGGAGCGAACGGGAUUAGAAACCCCGGUAGUCCAUGCCGUAAACGAUGUCUACUAGGUGUUGGGGGUAUUGACCCCCUCAGUGCCGAAGCUAACGCGAUAAGUAGACUGCCUGGGGACUACGGCCGCAAGGUUAAAACUCAAAGGAAUUGACGGGGACCCGCACAAGCAGCGGAGCGUGUGGUUUAAUUCGAGGCUACGCGAAGAACCUUACCAGGGUUUGACAUGCAUGUAGUAGGAAAGCGAAAGCGGACCGACCCUUCGGGGAGCAUGCACAGGUGAUGCAUGGCUGUCGUCAGCUCGUGCCGUGAGGUGUUCGGUUAAGUCCGGUAACGAGCGCAACCCCUGUCGUGUGUUACAUGUGUCACACGAGACUGCUGGUUUCAUGCCGGAGGAAGGAGGGGAUGACGUCAAGUCAGCAUGUCCUUUAUAUCCUGGGCUACACACACGCUACAAUGGCCGGGACAAUGGGUCGCCAAGCCGCGAGGCGGAGCCAAUCCUCCAAACCCGGUCUCAGUUCGGAUUGUAGGCUGCAACUCGCCUGCAUGAAGUCGGAGUUGCUAGUAAUCGCGAAUCAGAACGUCGCGGUGAAUACGUUCCCGGGCC